rnacentral:rRNA from 1 species
CCUACGGGAGGCAGCAGUGAGGAAUAUUGGUCAAUGGGCGGGAGACUGAACCAGCGAAGCCGCGUGAGGGAUGAAGGUACAGAGUAUCGUAAACCUCUUUUGUCAGGGAACAAAGGCGGGGACGUGUCCCCGGAUCAGUGUACCUGAAGAAAAAGCAUCGGCUAACGCCGUGCCAGCAGCCGCGGUAAUACGGAGGAUGCGAGCGUUAUCCGGAUUUAUUGGGGGUAAAGGGGGCGCAGGCGGUCUGUUAAGUCAGCGGGUAAAGCGCCGGGCUCAACCCCGGCCCGGCCGUUGAACCUGGCAGUCUCGAGUUGGAGAGAGGUAUGCGGAAUGCGCGGUGUAGCGGUGAAAUGCAUAGAUAUCGCGAAGAACUCCGAUUGCGAAGGCAGCAUGCCGGCUCCACACUGACGCUGAGGCACGAAAGCGUGGGUAUCGAACAGGAUUAGAUACCCCAGUAGUC